GAUGAACGCUGGCGGCGUGCCUAAUACAUGCAAGUCGAGCGAACAGACGAGGAGCUUGCUCCUCUGACGUUAGCGGCGGACGGGUGAGUAACACGUGGAUAACCUACCUAUAAGACUGGGAUAACUUCGGGAAACCGGGGCUAAUACCGGAUAAUAUAUUGAACCGCAUGGUUCAAUAGUGAAAGACGGUUUUGCUGUCACUUAUAGAUGGAUCCGCGCCGCAUUAGCUAGUUGGUAAGGUAACGGCUUACCAAGGCGACGAUGCGUAGCCGACCUGAGAGGGUGAUCGGCCACACUGGAACUGAGACACGGUCCAGACUCCUACGGGAGGCAGCAGUAGGGAAUCUUCCGCAAUGGGCGAAAGCUUGACGGAGCAACGCCGCGUGAGUGAUGAAGGUCUUCGGAUCGUAAAACUCUGUUAUUAGGGAAGAACAAAUGUGUAAGUAACUAUGCACGUCUUGACGGUACCUAAUCAGAAAGCCACGGCUAACUACGUG
rnacentral:rRNA from 1 species